UACGGAGAGUGCAAGCAUUAAUCGGAAUUAUUGGGCGUAAAGGGCGCGUAGGCGGGAUGGAAAGUCAGAUGUGAAAUUUCGGAGCUCAACUUCGAAGCGGCAUUUGAAACUCCCAUUCUAAGAGGGUUGACGGAGAAACGGAAUUCCACGUGUAGCGGUGAAAUGCGUAGAUAUGUGGAAGAACACCUGUGGCGAAAGCGGUUUUCUAGUUGAUACCUGACGCUGAGGCGCGAGAGCAAGGGGAGCAAACAGGAUUAGAUA
rnacentral:rRNA from 1 species